AGCAGUAGCCACGGUAAUACGUAGGUCCCGAGCGUUGUCCGGAUUUAUUGGGCGUAAAGCGAGCGCAGGCGGUUAGAUAAGUCUGAAGUUAAAGGCUGUGGCUUAACCAUAGUACGCUUUGGAAACUGUUUAACUUGAGUGCAAGAGGGGAGAGUGGAAUUCCAUGUGUAGCGGUGAAAUGCGUAGAUAUAUGGAGGAACACCGGUGGCGAAAGCGGCUCUCUGGCUUGUAACUGACGCUGAGGCUCGAAAGCGUGGGGAGCAAACAGGAUUAGAGACCCCCGUAGUCCCUGUCUCUUAUACA
rnacentral:rRNA from 1 species